rnacentral:sRNA from 1 species
UCGCAUGGACGACAUUGAUCUCUUGGGC